CAAGUCCUUCAGCCGGAGACAAGCAGAAGGUCCAGGAGGUGAGGAUGCCAUACUCACAAGACCAAGAUCCUAUGUCUGAAAAAGCUUUGCUCCUCCACGCCCUUCCAGCAUGAUGUUUCUGCCUUGGAUCCAGCUGAGCAUGGACUGAAUCUCUGAAACCGAAUGGAAGUGUGUGGUAAGAGCACGUUGAAGAAGCCACUUCAUCCCCUCUGACUCUGUUUUCUUUCCUGAAAGCUGAAGGAUCUCAAUGCACAAAUGGAAACCCCUUUCAGAUCAAAUAUUUUACAUUAAAUAUC